rnacentral:misc_RNA from 1 species
GAGAAACAAAGAAAGAAAGGAAGGGCAAACUGCGAAGGGAUUUUUCUCUCAGUUUCUUUUUCCUUUACUUAUAGCUCGGACGAUUCUUUGCUGCUGCUAUCUUCUUGGAUUUGUUUUAUUUGAUUCAUUGAAGCCAUCUCAUUUUCUUCUUUUUGCAAAGUUUUUGCCGCAUCAGUUCACAGAUAGAGACGAUUUUUGGUGGUGAAUCUGAUUCGUUCGUUUGUCGGAUCUUGAAAGAUCUAUAAAAUUCCGAUUAUCUGGUGCUGUGAAUUUGGCGAAAUGGAUCUGUAGGUGUAGCUUUCGGCUGCUUCCUUUUGUCUGUGGUGUGGUGUCUCUUCGGCCUUGGAGAUUUGUUUCUUUGAGAAUGAUGGCUAGGAUUGAGGCUUCUUCUAUCUAUUAAUGAUUAUUCGGGGACCUAGACUCUGGUUUUGUUGAACCAGCAUUCUGUUUUGAGUUGGGCGCCUUCUUGGGAGGGAAUUCAUUUCUCUUCCUUGGCCAUCUCAGUCGUUUGGCUGCAAACACGUCCUCCUUUUUCUUUCAUUUUUUAAUGUCACGGAAGUUGGACAGUCCAGUUCAGACUCAAAUGGCAGUUGCAGCACUCAAGAGCCCACUCAGCAGGGAUUACCGCUCGAAAAAUGGAAGGGAUGAAAAACAGCCUGUUGGAAGGAGACAAGUGUUUGUGCAAACUGAUACGGGAUGUGUCCUGGGAAUGGAAUUAGAUCGUAAUGACAAUGCUCAUACGGUGAAAAGGAGGUUGCAGCUUGCUCUCAAUAUUCCCACAGAGGAGAGCUCGCUGACGUUUGGGGAUGUGAUACUAAAGAAUGAUCUUAGUGCCAUUCGAAAUGAUUCUCCGCUUCUUCUCACGAGAAAUCUCUUACACAGAAGCUCAUCGACUCCAUGUCUGUCACCCACUGGGAAGGAUCUCCGGCUUAGAGACCAGAGUGGGCCUAUUGAGAUAUUAGGGCAUUCAGAUCGUUUUUCUGGC